rnacentral:rRNA from 1 species
GAUGAACGCUGGCGGCGUGCUUAACACAUGCAAGUCGAACGAUGAAGCUCGGCUUGCUGGGUGGAUUAGUGGCGAACGGGUGAGUAACACGUGAGUAACCUGCCCUUAACUCUGGGAUAAGCCUGGGAAACUAGGUCUAAUACCGGAUAGGAGCGCCUACCGCAUGGUGGGUGUUGGAAAGAUUUAUCGGUUUUGGAUGGACUCGCGGCCUAUCAGCUUGUUGGUGAGGUAAUGGCUCACCAAGGCGACGACGGGUAGCCGGCCUGAGAGGGUGACCGGCCACACUGGGACUGAGACACGGCCCAGACUCCUACGGGAGGCAGCAGUGGGGAAUAUUGCACAAUGGGCGAAAGCCUGAUGCAGCGACGCCGCGUGAGGGAUGACGGCCUUCGGGUUGUAAACCUCUUUCAGUAGGGAAGAAGCGAAAGUGACGGUACCUGCAGAAGAAGCACCGGCUAACUACGUG